rnacentral:rRNA from 1 species
AUUGAACGCUGGCGGCAGGCCUAACACAUGCAAGUCGAACGAGUGGCGGACGGGUGAGUAAUGUCUGGGAAACUGCCUGAUGGAGGGGGAUAACUACUGGAAACGGUAGCUAAUACCGCAUACCAUCAGAUGUGCCCAGAUGGGAUUAGCUAGUUGGUGGGGUAACGGCUCACCAAGGCGACGAUCCCUAGCUGGUCUGAGAGGAUGACCCGCCAAACUGGAAACGAGAAACGGUCCAGACUCCUACGGGAGGGAGCAGGGGGGAAUAUUGCAAAAUGGGGGCAAGCCUGAUGCAGCCAUGGCGGGGGUAUGAAGAAGGCCUUCGGGUUGGAAAGGACUUUCAGCGGGGAGGCGUUACCCGCAGAAGAAGCACCGGCUAACUCCGUGCCAGCAGCCGCGGUAAUUC